GUCCCAUCUACAUUUACAUGCCAGUAAAAAAUAAUAAAAAAAAGAUUCAGAAAAACAGCAUGAUAUGAGUAGAACAUAGAGGAGUGGAUUGGCUUCUGUCUCAUAUCAAGGCCUGAUACAACAAUUGAUGUAGGUCAGAAUCUUCUUUUGCUUUGGGACAACAGAGUCAUCUGCAGGUGGUUGAUGAUGAUGUUGGUGGUGACGGGGGCGAUGUUGGUGUUGGUGUUCAUGGCGGUGAUGAUGGCAAUGGUGGUGAUGUUUUUGUUGACGAUGAUGCUUAUCCGCGCUUGCCAUUAACUCCCUUUCAUUCCCUAGGCUGGUUCUUUUGAACUCAGUUAAGUCAGUUUUUUGCUGUUUCCUA
rnacentral:misc_RNA from 1 species